GCUGGUGUAGCUCAGAUGGCAGAGCAGUUGAUUUGUAAUCAUCAGGUCGUAGGUUCGAUUCCUGCCACCAGCA
rnacentral:tRNA from 1 species